CCUCACCUUGUUGGGUGCCUGUAGUCCCAGCUCCUAGGGAGGCUGAAGAGGGAGGAUUACUUGAGCCCAGGAGUUCUGGGGUGUAGUGUGCUAUGCUGGUUAUGUGUCCACAGUAGGUUCAACAUUCAUUUGGUGGCCUCCCGAGAGCAAGGGACCACCAGGAUGCCUAAGGAGGGAUGAACCAGCCCAGGUCGGAAAUGGAGCAGGUCAAAACUCCCAUGCUGAUCAGUAGUGGGAUCACGCCCAUGAAUAGCCACUGCACUCCAGCCUGGACAACAAAGAGAGAGCCUGU
rnacentral:SRP_RNA from 1 species